UUCCGGUUGAUCCUGCCAGAGGUUACUGCUAUCGAGGUUCGACUAAGCCAUGCGAGUCGAAUGUAGCAAUACAUGGCGUACUGCUCAGUAACACGUGGACAACCUACCCUCCGGACGGGUAUAAACCCGGGAAACUGGGUAUAAUCCCCGAUAGAUCUCGGUCGCUGGAAAGCCCCGAGAUCGAAAGCUCCGGCGCCAGAGGAUGGGUCUGCGGCCUAUCAGGUAGUAGUGGGUGUAGCGUACCUACUAGCCUACGACGGGUACGGGUUGUGAGAGCAAGAGCCCGGA
rnacentral:rRNA from 1 species